rnacentral:misc_RNA from 1 species
CCGAGUUAUACAACUCCUCAACCCCUGUGAACAUACCUAAAUCGUUGCUUCGGCGGGAAUCCGCCCGGCCCUCGGCCCGAUCAGGGCGCCCCGCCAGAGGACCCCUAACUCUUGUUUCUUAUAAUGUAUCUUCUGAGUAAACAAGCAAAUAAAUUA